UCAAACAAGGUCAAAGGACCUUGGAGAAAAAAUUUCAGAAUUUUUGGAAACUUAAAAGUAUUCUUAAACAAUUAAAAACAAUCACAAAAUCAAUUAAAUCAUGACAAAAUAUUAAUAAUGAUCCAAAAAAUAAUUUUAAUUCAGAAAAUGAAAGAAGAUUUUAUUUAAUUAUUUUGGUGAAACUCUCAUAUUUUUUAGAUCAAUAUUAAAAUUAAUAUGAAUUAAUGAAAAUCAAAGGAAUAAAA
rnacentral:lncRNA from 1 species